AUUGAACGCUGGCGGCAUGCCUUACACAUGCAAGUCGAACGGCAGCACGGACUUCGGUCUGGUGGCGAGUGGCGAACGGGUGAGUAAUGUAUCGGAACGUAUCUUUCAGUGGGGGAUAACGUAGCGAAAGUUACGCUAAUACCGCAUAUUCUGUGAGCAGGAAAGCAGGGGAUCGCAAGACCUUGCGCUGAUUGAGCGGCCGAUAUCAGAUUAGCUAGUUGGUGAGGUAAAGGCUCACCAAGGCGACGAUCUGUAGCGGGUCUGAGAGGAUGAUCCGCCACACUGGAACUGAGACACGGUCCAGACUCCUACGGGAGGCAGCAGUGGGGAAUUUUGGACAAUGGGGGCAACCCUGAUCCAGCCAUGCCGCGUGAGUGAAGAAGGCCU
rnacentral:rRNA from 1 species